rnacentral:lncRNA from 1 species
CACGGAUGAACAUGAUUACAAUGUUGUGGCUACAAGCUCAGAUAGUUUUGAUAUGACGCAAAGAUCUCGUUGCUUAAAACCAUCUCAAAAGCUAAAGGAUAUGGAGUGGUGCACAAUCAGUCGGAAGGGACGGCGUGGAAGAGGUAUACUACUUCUCAUGGUCGUCGAUCACUAGAACUUAUUAUUCAAAAAGUUCUUCAUCUUCCUAUGACUUAUUUUUAUGUUAUGCUUUAAAGCAAAUUUGGUGCGUUGAUUUACGAUAUGUUUAACUUCUUAUCAUGAACUUUAUGGCUGAAUCGUUCUCUUGUAACUUCUCUAGUAUUUAAUAGCAAAAUUUUCGUCAAAAAAAAAUACUACAACAAACUAAAAAAUAUUUUAUUGCAUUCUAACUAUUUGUUCGACCACAACCCAUCUAUAAAUCUUCACUAAAAAUGAUGUAUAUUUGUCAAACCAAUAUUUAUCGACAUGAGCCCUGUUCGUUUCAGAACCGCCACGUCUUGCGGCAGCGUCCAAAAAUUCAGCCUUUUAUCACAGCAAUACAAACCACCGGUGAGAUAUCGCUGACGUAUUUUCAAUCGCAGCGGCAACUAACAAGAAGGACAAGAGAUGCUGAAAUUAUCUGCGACACAAGCGUCUCUUUUUUUGUGUCUCCGGCAAUUCAGUGCGUCUACCGCAACUUUUGAUUCUGUUAUUUUGGUUUCCGUCGUAGUACAUUUUUGUUACCGCUGCCUCUAACCUCUGCGGUCAUGAAACGAAUAGGACUAUGGUAAGAAACCUUUUCUAAAACAUGUUUUGUCUGUGAUAAUAUCUCCUGAAAUUCCUAGUUACCAACAUCGCCACUCAUGUCAUGUGGUAUAUCAAUUUUACUCUCACAAGCAAGAAGAUAAGCAUUCUGCUGUGGCACUAUUCUCAUACUUUUAUAUUUCAAUAAAUAAGUUAAACUAUCUCACAUUCGAAAUUAAUAUAUACAAUGAAUCUGAAACUAAAUAGAUAUAGAUGAUGCAAUCAAAAUUUCUAUGUAUGAAAAGAGAGAGACAUUCAUACUUUUCGUGAUUCAGUGAGUUGAAAUGCUAUUUUCACUGAUUUGUGACAUUUUUCUGGAGUGCACACUCACUGAUUGAUGACUAAUAAUACUGUAUGGUGGUAUUAAAUACCUAAUAAAAUUAGGUCAAACUCAUAUGAUGAAAGAACUGACCAUAUGAAAAACUAAUAAAUACUGAGCUAUCGGAAAAGUAAAAGUUAUUAAUAAUGAACCGUACGAAUAUGAAUAAAUCAGACUUGGGUGGAUGAAAACCAAAUGUCACAUUCAUCUAACUGGUCCUUGACACGCCCAGGUUCACGAAUAUAUAUUUUUCCUUACCUUUCUUUUAAAACAUCUAAAAUUUUUAUUUCGUUUACUAAUAAAGAAGAAAUUUUCUCUUGACCCCAGAAAAACAACACUUUGAAUGAGGUCUGGACAUCCGGAUCCUCGGAUCGGAUUUUGUAGGGUCCAUUCCUCACGGAUCCUAGAAAUUUGUACCCAUAUAUAUCUAUAACUUUUAGAUCAAUUAUGGAUCAGGUCUUAUCGGAUCCAGAUCAGUUCGGAUUCAUAAUUCCAAUACUUGUAAUUUUUAGAUCUAUUUGGGAUAAAGGUCGGUUAGGAUAUUUAAGACCCAAAACUCAAAAAUAUCCAAAAUCCCUAAAAAUAUCCAAAGAACCGCAAAAAUACUUAAAAUUUUAUACAAAAUCAGAUCCAAAAAUCAAAAGAUACCCGAAAUUUUAUCUGAAUACUCGAAUUAUAUUUUCUUAAAAUCUAAAAUUUUACCUGAAACUUGAAAUUAUACCCAAAAACUCGAAUCCAAAACUAAAAAAAAACAUUUGAAAUACCAAAAAUAUACCCAAUCACUAAUAUACUUAAUAUAUACAGUAUUUUUUGGGUAUUUCGAAUACCCGAUCGGAUCUCGGAUACGAUCCGGACCCGACUGAGAUCUGCGGGUCCAAAGAAAAAAAACUUAUCAGAUACUUUAGUAUGGAUCCAGAUCCAAACCUGUAUUUUUGGAUAGAUUCUGGUUCGGACUUCGGAUCCGGAUAAAAUGUCCUGGCUUACUUUGAAACACUGAAGUUUUUAAUUUCCUUCUCUCGAUCAAAUGUUUGCUGGAAUUUAUUUACAUGUAAUUAAGCCAUCUCACCGUGUUAUAAAAGUUGUCUAUAAAUAUUAGCCGUAUAAUAUCUUAUAAAGUUAGAAAAAAGAAGUUGACAAUAAGUUAUAAAUGGAAAGGUGAGUGAUAUAGUUUCAGUUUGCUUUUCAGUGCCUACCUUAAUAUAUAAUUCAAAGUAAAACAGUGAAACCGAGGUAUAGCAUUAUUUAGGUUCCGAAUGGUAAUUACGGUUUGAGCGAUGCGGGACAAGCGGUUUAACUGUGGUACAGUUUUAACAAUUAUAAAAAUAUAUAGAUAUAUGGUAUAUGUAGAAAUUUUUGUUACUGUUAACUGCAGUGUAGGAUAGUGCGGUUCGUAAUCAAUGGACCUUAAUCAGGUCCGCCUACCGUCCCAAAUAACAUUUUGACUUUAUACAAAUCAAUGGACCGAAAUAUAAUAUUUUCAAUGCAAAGUCGAUUCUAUAGUGUAAAUAAGCGAAGCUAGACAUGAUUAGAAUGUAAAUCUGAUCUUGAAAUGCUUAAAUGGAUUUAUUUAGGAACAUAAUGUUGAUAUGUUCUUUUUAUUAAGAUAUUUGUACAUGCUUUACUUUUAGGUUUAGAUCCGGCCGAUUUUCUUAAAUCAGUCAUUAUUUUAUUGUAAGAUAUACGAUACAAAAUACAGCUUAUUUAUCGUUUAUUUGAAUUUUAAAAGGUAACUAAUAAUCAAUCAAUUUAGUUUCCAAAAAAAAACUAAUAAUCAAUCAAAUACGUUUUUGAGGAAUGUAGAACUAUAUUUUGUCGGGCUUUGGCUCUAAUUAUCGCUAAAAAAGCAUUGUAUUGUUAGCUAUGAAAAUGAUCUUUGAGAAUAAGAGAAAUGAAAAUCCGAUUCACACUAUUAUUAAAGUUGAAGAAAUAUCGAAUCAUGUAGACAAAUAAUUGCAGAAAUUCAAUGUUUCUAUGUGGUUAGACGUAUAGAACAAUAAAAUAUUGUGAUGAAAUAUUUGAAAGGACAAUGAUAGAUUAAUAUAUGGACCUUAUAAUAUUGGAACUCGAUGUGAUAGAGGAAAGAAAGAAAAAAUAAUCAAGCGUGGGGUCAAAGGAGAAUUUGCACACAUGCAAGUUGGCAACUUGGUGGUUAAAAAGUAUUUCAUGCAUGUGGGACCUUCCUUUGUAUCUAAUUAAAAUAUAACUAAUUGCAUUUUCUAAGAUAAGAUUAAGAACUAUGCAUCAGUGAAGAAGAUGUGGGUUAUUAUUCAUUGUUAAUAAAGAUUUAUGCGAUUAAAUAUUUAAAUACUGAUAUGGGUCGGCUCAAUCCCUUUGAAACUUCACUGUCUUGUGGGCAUAUAAAACUUUCUGGAACCUCAUUAUACUAAUCAGAUAGUAACUACAAAUGAUAAUUCGCAACAUUUGAUUUUUUCUUUUUCGUAAAAUGUCAAAUAUUAUUUUAGCAAAAAAAAGUUAAAUAUUAUAUUUAUUUUUAAUUUUUUACAGAAGGUUCACAGCGACGAGUAGUGGUGGAAAUGCAAUCAUUAAAACUAAAUAGAGAGUCUAAGCAGAGGAGAGGAGAGUACUAAAAUGAAAGGAGACACAUUUGAGUAUUUUCUAGACGAGCGAGCUCAUAAUGUGUGGGUUUGUGGGUGAUUUUAAAUAAUAACAAUAGCGUCUUAUAUUUUAAAUGGUUCCGGCGAUUUUAAAUAGUAUUAUGCACUUUCCAUAUAGACUAUGCAUCUACCUGAUUCUAGAUUUUAAAAAUGGUACGUAUGAAUUAUAGGUAUGAGCCUGUCUGCCUAAGUUUGGUUAUUCAUUAUAAAAAGAAG